CGGCGGACGGGUGAGUAACGCGUGGGUAACCUGCCUCAUACAGGGGGAUAACAGUUAGAAAUGACUGCUAAUACCGCAUAAGCACACAGAACCGCAUGGUUCGGGGUGAAAAGCCGAGACGGUAUGAGAUGGACCCGCGUCUGAUUAGCUAGUUGGAGGGGUAACGGCCCACCAAGGCAACGAUCAGUAGCCGACCUGAGAGGGUGACCGGCCACAUUGGGACUGAGACACGGCCCAAACUCCUACGGAAGGCAGCAG
rnacentral:rRNA from 1 species